GAACAUACAGGUAGGGACACCUCUGUCCAGAGUGUUACUGAGGAAGAAAAUCGACUGUUAAAACAGAAGGUGACUCACGUUGAAGACCUCUAUGCCAAGUGGCAGCUAUACGAUGUCAGCAGGGACGAAUACAUGAGGGGGCUCCAUGCACAGCUCAGGGGGCUGCAGACCCCCCCCCCCCCAUGAGCCCGAGCUGAUGAGGAAGGAGAUCUCCCGGCUCAACAGAUAGUUGGAAGAGAAAAUAAACGACUGUGCAGAAUUGACGUAGAAGCUGGCAGCCUCGAGGACGGCACGGGAUGCUGCACUGGAAUGGGUGCAGAUACUGGAAUAGCAGAUUCUCGCUUACAAGGAUGACUUCAUGUCAGAAAGGGCAGAUCGGGAACAGGCUCAAGGUAGGAUUCAGGAACUGGAGGAAAAGGUCACCUCUUUGCUGCACCAGGUGUCCUGGAGACAGGAUUCUCAAGAGCCAGACGCCGGCUGGAUUCACGCUGGGAGCAAAACUGCCAAGUACUUGGCCACCGAUGCAGUGGAGCUUAUCGUGCCUGGUGGCUGGAGGCCUGGGACUGGGUCCCAGGCGGUUGGAACCCCCUGCAGAGGGCGGGCAUCCUGGCGCAGCCCAGAGAGGCCAGGGGGAACUUCAGUGCCCUCACUGCCUGCAGUGCUUCAGUGACGAACAAGGUGAAGAGCUCCUCAGGCACGUGGCUGAGUGCUGCCAGUGA
rnacentral:lncRNA from 1 species